rnacentral:piRNA from 1 species
UGAGAAGGGAAUACAUGUACUGAGCCUGGU